AGCAAAUGAUGAGGUAGAGAAUUAAAACUGUUAAUUAAGAGUUUGAUCCUGGCUCAGGAUG
rnacentral:rRNA from 1 species